AUUGAACGCUGGCGGCAGGCCUAACACAUGCAAGUCGAGCGGAUGAAGGGAGCUUGCUCCUGGAUUCAGCGGCGGACGGGUGAGUAAUGCCUAGGAAUCUCCCUGUUAGUGUUGUAUAACGUCCGGAAACGGGCGCUAAUACCGCAUACGUCCUGAGGGAGAAAGUGGGGGAUCUUCGGACCUCACGCUAUCAGAUGAGCCUAGGUCGGAUUAGCUAGUUGGUGGGGUAAAGGCCUACCAAGGCGACGAUCCGUAACUGGUCUGAGAGGAUGAUCAGUCACACUGGAACUGAGACACGGUCCAGACUCCUACGGGAGGCAGCAGUGGGGAAUAUUGGACAAUGGGCGAAAGCCUGAUCCAGCCAUGCCGCGUGUGUGAAGAAGGUCUUCGGAUUGUAAAGCACUUUAAGUUGGGAGGAAGGGCAGUAAGUUAAUACCUUGCUGUUUUGACGUUACCAACAGAAUAAGCACCGGCUAACUUCGUG
rnacentral:rRNA from 1 species